AACUGCCAGCUGGCACGCCAAAACGGUAUCUGCGCUCUGGGCCGCCUGACUCCUUUCGUUCUAAGACCUACACCGCCAGGCUCUCGCCUCCUCCUCCGCUCUUUGGCGCCAAACAAAGCUAGCCAAUAGGAACGCGGCCUAUGGCGCCCGAAAAGGGACAUCCGCCGCUCAGCCGCAUUCCAGGAGGGGCGGAGUGAGAGGGGUCCUUCCAAGGUUCAAGGCGGCACUUUGAGGUUAAGAGGAAAGGCCCAAAAACUUGGUAUGCAUUGGUAGGACGCAAGCGUUUCAGUUUUUCAGUGCGGGUUUUCUGUUUGAUAUUAAAAUAAAGCUAUCUUUUAUUGGGUA